GGGAAAGUGGCUCAGUGGUAGAGUGCUUGCCUCGCAUGCAGGAGGUCCUGGGUUCAAUUCCUCAG
rnacentral:tRNA from 1 species